GACGAACGCUGGCGGCGCGCUUAAUACAUGCAAGUCGAGCGAGAACCAGGGCUUCGGCCCUGGGGACAGCGGCGAACGGGUGAGUAACACGUGGAUAACCUACCCUCGGCACCGGAAUAGCCCGGGGAAACUCGGAUUAAUGCCGGAUAGCCCCACAUCCUCUCGAGGAACGUGGGAAAAGGUAGCUUCGGCCUCUGGCCGGGGAUGGGUCCGCGGUGGAUUAGCUUGUUGGUGCGGGUAAUGGCCCACCAAGGCGACGAUCCAUAGCUGGUCUGAGAGGACGAUCAGCCACACUGGGACUGAGACACGGCCCAGACUCCUACGGGAGGCAGCAGUAGGGAAUCUUGCGCAAUGGGCGAAAGCCUGACGCAGCGACGCCGCGUGCGGGAAGAAGGCCU
rnacentral:rRNA from 1 species